GCCGAAGUGGUGGAAUUGGUAGACACGCUAGGUUCAGGGUCUAGUGGGGGUUCCCCCAUGGGAGUUCGAGUCUCCCCUUCGGCACCA
rnacentral:tRNA from 2 species